AGCAUAUCAAUAAGCGGAGGAAAAGAAACCAACAGGGAUUGCCCUAGUAACGGCGAGUGAAGCGGCAACAGCUCAAAUUUGAAAUCUGGCUCUUUCAGGGUCCGAGUUGUAAUUUGCAGAGGGCGCUUUGGCUUUGGCAGCGGUCCAAGUUCCUUGGAACAGGACGUCACAGAGGGUGAGAAUCCCGUACGUGGUCGCUAGCUAUUGCCGUGUAAAGCCCCUUCGACGAGUCGAGUUGUUUGGGAAUGCAGCUCUAAAUGGGAGGUAAAUUUCUUCUAAAGCUAAAUAUUGGCCAGAGACCGAUAGCGCACAAGUAGAGUGAUCGAAAGAUGAAAAGCACUUUGGAAAGAGAGUCAAACAGCACGUGAAAUUGUUGAAAGGGAAGCGCUUGCAGCCAGACUUGCUUGCAGUUGCUCAUCCGGGCUUUUGCCCGGUGCACUCUUCUGUAGGCAGGCCAGCAUCAGUUUGGGCGGUGGGAUAAAGGUCUCUGUCACGUACCUCUCUUCGGGGAGGCCUUAUAGGGGAGACGACAUACCACCAGCCUAGACUGAGGUCCGCGCAUCUGCUAGGAUGCUGGCGUAAUGGCUGUAAGCGGCCCGUCUUGAAACACGGACCAAGGAGUCUAACAUCUAUGCGAGUGUUUGGGUGUCAAGCCCGAGCGCGUAAUGAAAGUGAACGGAGGUGGGAACCCGCAAGGGUGCACCAUCGACCGAUCCUGAAGUUUUCGGAAGGAUUUGAGUAAGAGCAUGGCUGUUGGGACCCGAAAGAUGGUGAACUAUGCUUGAAUAGGGUGAAGCCAGAGGAAACUCUGGUGGAGGCUCGCAGCGGUUCUGACGUGCAAAUCGAUCGUCAAAUUUGGGCAUAGGGGCGAAAGACUAAUCGAACUAUCUAGUAGCUGG
rnacentral:rRNA from 1 species